rnacentral:rRNA from 1 species
CCAAUAGCGUAUAUUAAAGUUGCUGCAGUUAAAAAGCUCGUAGUUGAAUUUCGGGACCGAUAUAUCGGUCGUGCCUCGGUACGUACUGGUAUUUUCGGUUUCUCCCUUCUGACGAACCUUGAUGUCAUUAAUUUGGUGUCUUGGGGAAUCAGGACUGUUACUUUGAAAAAAUUAGAGUGUUUAAAGCAGGCUCACGCUUGAAUACAUUAGCAUGGAAUAA